UACAGGGGGGGCAAGCGUUGUUCGGAAUUACUGGGCGUAAAGGGCUCGUAGGUGGCCAACUAAGUCGGACGUGAAAUCCCUCAGCUUAACUGGGGAACUGCAUCCGAUACUGGAUGGCUUGAGUUUGGGAGAGGGAUGCGGAAUUCCAGGUGUAGCGGUGAAAUGCGUAGAUAUCUGGAGGAACACCGGUGGCGAAGGCGGCAUCCUAGACCAACACUGACACUGAGGAGCGAAAGCGUGGGGAGCAAACAGG
rnacentral:rRNA from 1 species